UACGGAGGGUGCGAACGUUAAUCGGAAUCACUGGGCGUAAAGCGCGCGUAGGCGGUUUGCUAAGUGGGAUGUGAAAUCCCCGGGCUUAACCUGGGAAUUGCAUUUCAAACUGGCCGACUAGAGUACGGUAGAGGGAGGUAGAAUUUCCUGUGUAGCGGUGAAAUGCGUAGAUAUAGGAAGGAAUACCAGUGGCGAAGGCGGCCUCCUGGAUCGAUACUGACGCUGAGGCGCGAAAGCGUGGGGAGCAAACAGG
rnacentral:rRNA from 1 species